rnacentral:rRNA from 1 species
AGCCUUAAGAUAAUAUUUAAGGUAAUGCCUGCCCAGUGCUAAAUAUUGUAAAUGGCCGCAGUACCUUGACUGUGCUAAGGUAGCAUAAUCAGUUGGCUUUUAAAUGGAGUCUGGAAUGAAUGGAUUUAUAAGGUUAAGCUGUCUCUUUUAUAUUUUAUUGAAUUUAAUUAUUUAGGUGAAAAUACCUAAUUAUUGAUAAAAGACGAGAAGACCCUAGGAGUUUUAACUAGUAUCAAUAUUAAAUUGCUUGUGUUUUUGUUGGGGCGACAUAGGAACAUAUCAACUUCCUUAAUUUUAUAUACCGACUUAAUGUAUAAAUAAUUAAACUACCCUAGGGAUAACAGCGUUAUUCUUUUUAGAGCUUGCGACCUCGAUGUUGGACUAGGAAUUUAAUUGGCUAGCCGCCAAUUUCUAUUGUUCUGUUCGAACUUAAUUUCCUACAU